rnacentral:lncRNA from 1 species
GGUUUUUUUUUUUUUCUUUUUUCUUUUGCUCCUAAAACUUAAAUCGACUACAUGGUAAUUGGAAAGUGGAUCAAAGUUUCGUUUGCUAUUCCUAUCUCCUUUUAAGAAAAUGGCCUUUUCGUUUAAAAUAGUGGGGAGAUUUCUAACGAGUAUCUGUAUGUAGCAUGGUUUUUGCAACUUGGGAACGCUAAAUGUGUCCUCGUGGGAGUUGUAAUUUUUAGUAAAUCCUGUGUGUUGAUAUAACCCUCGGGCUGCAAAUAUCUUGAGGACUAAUGCAAUAAACAGGGAUUGCUAUACGGGCAAUAAAGGAUUCUACUUUUAUUGGCUCUUUAAACUUGAAUUUUCCACCGCACAGGUAGGUUAUGAGUCAGUUUUGUGGACAAAAUCGUCAGUAAUAUGGGAGCUCUUAGAUUUUAAUAAGAGCUGAAUUAAGAUUUCAUUUUAAGUACCUUUGAAUGGGCAAACAUUUUUUUUUUUGUUUUUGUUUUUGUUUUUCGAGACAGUUUCUCUGUAUAUCCCCGGCUGUCCUGGAACUCACUUUGUAGACCAGGCUGGCCUCGAACUCAGAAAUCCGUCUCCCAAGUGCUGGGAUUAAAGGCAUACGCCACCACGUCCGGCGCAAACUUUUUAUCUAGUAAGUAAAUACCGGUCUCUGGCGCACCAACCAGUUGGAUUGUUCCAACAAGGGUAUUGUAUUGAAAUAGAGCUUUGUGCGAGGUGUUUUAUUUCUUUUACAUUAGAAGAAUUAGUUUCUCUCCCCUGGCAUAUAUAAUAGGUACUAGGGGCAGGAGAGGCCCUGGUGGCUCUUUUUUUCCUCCUUUUUUGGUACGGAGCAGAAUCAUUUAUGUAAAAUGACUUGAUCGUCUUUAUUAACUGCUAAUAGAAUUUUUAAAAAAAUGAGUUCACCAUCACUCUGAUAAGCAAAAUUGGAGAUGAUCACAGUGGAGAAAACGACAACUUUGGCUUUCUCUUGAGUUAAAGAAAUGUUGAGGUAAAUGACUGGUUUUAGUACAUGGUUUCGUUUGUGUUAUCUGGUCUGUACUAGACUGGCAGAUCACAUCUGGAUGGCAGUCAUUUGAAGGGAAUUUGGCAAGUGUCAAAGAACUGGAGUUCAACUUGGGCAAAUUUGUCAGCUAAUAAAUUUUGCCAUUUUAUUUAAAUGUUCGGAUUAUUUAGUUUGGAAUUUCUAUCAAAAUGGGAUUCUGGAAGUUGCUCUAGUGACUAGAUUAGAAUCUAAGGAUUCUUCAGAUGAGAAUGAAACUCUGGGAUUCCCUCUAACCCUGAGCUAGUGCUGAGGAGUUUGAAUGCUAGUAAAGUUCCUUGGCAAGGUAAGGAGGCCUGAAAGGAGAAGUCUGAUAUCCAGACAUUUUAAUUACUAUAAAGUCUUUUACCCCAAGGUGUUCUCUCCUUAAGAUGACUUUAGGGUAGAAUUGCAUACCAUAUGUGUCUUACGUAGAAAGCCUGUGCACUGUUGGCUCCUAUAAUUUGGUUUAGUUUUCCUUUAGUGUGGUAGACAGAGGUAGAGAUUUACCAAGUCUAGCUGGGGUAUGUGUGUAGGUAGGGUCUCCCUGCAUAGAGUAGGUUGAGCAUUAUCUCAAAUUGUGUGUCUUGGGGUUUUUGAUAUUAGUCUAAUGAGUCUAGUUUAGGGUGAAUCAAUGUAACAGCUUUGUUUUGUGUUGGUGUUCUGAUUGUCCCUGGAUUUUCUUUUCUUUUUCCUUUAGUUUGAAAAGCUUGAAAUUUUUUGACUAGAUGGAUCAAGUGGUGUUGCAUACUGUAAUCUCAGCAUUUGGAAGGCAGAUACUGGUGGAUUUCUGGAGACCAGAAUGGUAGUGUGUUCCCAGAACAGCCAGGGAGAGACUGUCUCAAAAAGAAAACUCUGAAAUUAAAAUUUUAAAAAGUUGAGCCUAUUUUAGCACUUGCAAGGUCUAUAUAACUUUCUAUUUUACAGCCCUUAAACUAGGGAUUCUCCUUUUGUGUUAGAGGGCUAAGGAUGGCUUGUUUGUCUAACGUGAGCCAGACCCUGAAUUCAGUCCUCAGUGACUAUAGUAAUAUGACUUAAAAUAACUUUCACUAGGGGGUUACAUGGAUUUAGUGAAGGAUAUUUAUUUAGAUUUAGUGACAGACAUUUAUAAAUUUAGCUGCUGCUGUUUCUCAAUAGAUACUUCCAUUAACAGUAUAGACAACAGCCUUGAACUUUGAUCAGUACUCUAUGUAGCAAGUCUAAAUUUAUCUUUUUGUGUGUGCAGUGAGGUUUUACACUGUAGUCAUAUGACUCAGGAAGUGUGGCUUCUCAAAGCUGCCCACGCCUUAGUUCUGGAUCAGCAACUUGCACAUGAUGUCUUACUGUCCCAUUUGUGAAUACUUGAGCAGGUUAUGAUGUAUUCAGUUUUUGGCUGCAGAAAGUAGCCACUUUUCUGGGUUUGAUUUACUAUGAUCUAAGUGUUUAUUUGAGAUUUUGUAAGUGACAGGCUUUCUAGCAAACCUGAGCACUGAUGGUGGGUUUUUUUUUUGUUGUUGUUGAGAGCCUGUCCUUUCCAUACUAGACCACUAACAAACAGUUUUGCUGUAGGUGACAGUAGCCACCUCUCCUGUAAACAUUGUCAAAUGUUCUUUGCACUAAACAGAUUUACCCUUAGUUGAAACUUGGGGUUUAACCACCUUUUGAAUAUGGUGUGGUGGGUAGGGUGAAAUUUGCUUGUAAGGGUUUACAUUUGUGAUUGAUAGUUUGAAAGGAAGUAACAUUAAGCUUGAACAUCGAGCAUCUUUGUCCUUGUCCAGAUAUUAUGAGGAACUUUGUCGAAAGAUAUGAAGGGUGUGUUUCUUCAAGUUCUGUGCAUUUAAUGUAGCUGUUAAAACAGUACAGCUGUCUUUGGGUGAUGUGGUAGGUUUUGGCUUUGGGAACCUUGAGGUUCUUUUGUUAUAGUUACUCACCUAGGAAUGGACUAAUGGCCCGGUGCACGGCUUUAAUCCCAGCGCUUGGGAGGCAGAGGCAGGUGGAUUUCUGAGUCUGGUCUACAUACAGAGUAUGUUCCAGGACAGCAAGGGGGCUACCCUGUCUUGAAAAACC